ACAGCCACUGCUGGCAUCCAGCAGGUUCCAGCCCAUUGGAGAAGUAGGUGCUUGCAGAGCAAAAAGUAAUCCUGAAAGGAUGCAGUGAUUUCCCUCUCUUCACCCAUAGAUUUUUUCAGGCUCCUGCCUAAUAGCUACAAUUCUUCACUAGAGUUAGGGAGGCUACUGUUAGUUGUUGUAUCUUUCUGUAAAGAAGGUAUUUUUUGCAGUUGUCUAAAACUCUGUUUUCCAUGAAAGUUGCUUCAGCAACAUUACAUUAGACAUACAUUACAUUACAACAUACAUUAGCCUUGCCUAUGAAUAGGAACAAUCAGCCAUUUUAUGGUGGAAGCAGCUUGCUUAGGAACUUUAGUGGUUCCUAAGAAACAAACAUCUCUGCCAAACAUUUGUAGUGGGGAAUGCAAUACACAAGUAACAGCAAGCCUUGUUGAUUUGUCUUGUGCUCUCUGCUGUGAGCUCUUCGUCCAUUGUGGAUAUCUGCUGAGAAGGAUGCUGAGGGAAACUUCAAAUUCUGUAAUCCCAGAGUCAAACCUGGGCAGGAGGAGAGAGCAGCAGGUCACACACUGAAGUGGUCAGAUUCUAACCUUGACUUUGGUCAGUGCCACAUUAUAAAGGAUGUGAGUUACUCAUGUCUUUGCACAGAAGAAAGAAAAGACAGAGAGCGAUGAACAGUAGCAGCUCUUUACAUGAAAUUUAGCACCUAAUAGACAGGAAAAAUGCACGAUUUAAGAUUUAUUUAAUAUAGAUUUUUAAAAUUCCUUAUAGUUUUGAAAAAGAUGUAUUGUUUUUUUGGGUGGCACCCUGAUUUAACUGAGGCUAUGUUAAGAGCCCCUAAGAAGAAGCUCAUCCAUAUGCUGAAGAAGACUGGGCUCAGUUUCCUGCAGAGGAAGAGUGCUGGAUGAAGCAUGGAAGCAGGCAGGCUGUGCAGCAAACUGAGACAUCCUGUGCCUCUGCUGCUGCCAUGUAAUGUAAGAAAAUAAGAGGUCCAUUGUGUUAUCUGAGCAAAGAUGCCUGUUCGUGCAGUCCUAGCUGUAUCCACAGUCAGGAGAGUUGACUCCCCAUGGCUAAAAUCCAUCCAAAUCCUCUACAGUGACACAGUGAAAAUUGGACCACUUGUGAUGACUCUUAGAAGAGUCCAUCUCACCUUCCUGGCCAGAAAGGUUCAAUCCCAAAUUCCACACCUCUCCCCCAUAGGAGAGGCCCAACAGCUACAAUGCUGGUACAGGAGCUGGAGUGGAGUGUGAGGUGGCAGAAAGCAUCUGUUUCUCUGACUGAAGCUGUUCCACUGUGCAGAAAAACCUUCACAAGUAAAAUGAUCAAUCAGGCACCAAGAGAAGUAUAUGACUGUAUCAUCUAGCAGUUUGUGCAGCUACUUGGCAGAAGGAAAUCUACAUAUCACCCCUCCAUCAGGCUCUUUCUGCAUGAU